rnacentral:rRNA from 1 species
AUUGAACGCUGGCGGCAUGCCUUACACAUGCAAGUCGAACGGCAGCACGGGAGCAAUCCUGGUGGCGAGUGGCGAACGGGUGAGUAAUAUAUCGGAACGUGCCCAGUCGUGGGGGAUAGCGUAGCGAAAGCUACGCUAAUACCGCAUACGAUCUAUGGCUGAAAGCGGGGGAUCGCAAGACCUCGCGCGAUUGGAGCGGCCGAUAUCCGAUUAGGGAGUUGGUGGGGUAAAGGCUCACCAAGCCGACGAUCUGUAGCUGGUCUGAGAGGACGACAGGCCACACGGGGACUGAGGCACGGCCCAGACUCCUACGGGAGGCAGCAGUGGGGAAUUUUGGACAAUGGGCGCAAGCCUGAUCCAGCAAUGCCGCGUGCAGGAUGAAGGCCUUCGGGUUGUAAACUGCUUUUGUACGGAGCGAAAAGGCUUCCACUAAUACUGGGGGCUCAUGACGGUACCGUAAGAAUAAGCACCGGCUAACUACGUGCCAGCCGCCGCGGUAAAAC